rnacentral:lncRNA from 1 species
AUCAUAGAAUGAGCAUGCCUCAUCAUCAGUUUCGAUAUCAGAGAAGCUGGACAUAUGGUCCAGCUCCUCCUUCUCCAACUUUACAUUGUCCAUCUCCACCUUGGCACUCUCCUUCUCCAACUUGACAUUGUCCAUCUCCACCUUGGCGCUCUCCACGUCCACCUUGCCACUCUCAUUCUCCACAUCAAAAAUUAGCCGGCGCCACUCAUGAAGCAUAGUACUGCACAGAAAUUAUAUACAAAAUCAAUAAGGUACUAGUUUGACAACCAAAUUGCAAGGCAAUGUUAAGAUGGCUGACCCCAAACGUUGACGACCUUGGUUGGCACACGGCCCAGUAAUUCUGCUCACCGUAACAACAUCUUGUGGCUCCGUCUCAGGCACAUACUCAUCAUUAUCACCAAGCAAAGAUGAACCCUUAGCACCUCCUUCUUCAUAUGAAUCAGGUAUCAAAACAAAU